rnacentral:misc_RNA from 1 species
ACGGUUGCGGUCUUGCGCUCCUGUCCAACCCGAUUGCCUUGACACACAGAGACCGGACUGCCACAGAGCCUCCCCCGCAUCCCCUUUCUCGUAUCAUAGCCCCUCUGUUACCCUCAGCGCAUCUGCCCACCACGCUGAACUCCCUUCGUUUCUCUCAUCGACGCUGCCUGCUCGGAGCGCGUGUUCGACUAUACAACGGGCAGCGAGGAGUGGAGGCGAAAGAGGCGGGGAGACGACCGUCUUUCGUCGCUGUCUAAUCCCGGCUUCUCUGUCGCUCAGGCACCGCAGCGCACCACUGGUUCCGAAGAGCUAUCAAGGAAGGGGCACUGCAGCACACUGCGUGCGUGAGCCUGGUGGCGGCUUGAGAGCCAGCUCUUACAACCUCACAGACAAGUCAUCGAGUAAUCUUUAUCGGACGCCUCCUGGCCCCCUUGCACACUGCUGCCCUGUGCGUACGCGUGGAUACGUGGCCGCGUCAGGCUGUUGAGCUCCUCUUCGCGCGUUGUGUGAGCUUUUCGUGUAGUUUUCUGCUGUGGUCGCACCCGUCCUUGUCCGUCUCUCUGGCCUCCGCCCCUUUCCCCACGGUGCCCAAUGUCCUCUUCGCGUUCGUGGUCGUCAUCUGAUGGCGACAGCAACGACCACGCGGCCUUGUGGUGGAGCGAUGACAGCGAUGCGGGGAAUUCGGUGACAGACGAAGCGAACGCCAACGCUGCGACGCCUUGCCAUUGCACCGAGGAGGACAGACCGGCGGCGGAUGGCGUUGCCGGCCGCGUGGAGGACGUCGGGCGGCUGGAGCCGACGGAGCGCAUUCAUCGGUACAUCGACCAAUGCAUUCCUCCAGCGCUCAUGUCCCAUCAGCGAUCCGCGGACGGGCCUCUGCUUGUCCAGCUGUGUGCGGAACUGGAGGCGUUCGGCACGCCAAAGGCGUGGACGAAUCACGUGCCCGCUACGGUGUUUGACGAGUACGCGGCAACAGUCGAAAAGGACGCGAGGGGCAGCGAGGCAACUCACCCCCACAGCGCCGCCCCGGAGCUGGGGCCGCGAGCUGACUUGUUCGAAGCGGCCUUGUACUCAUGCGAGAACGUGGCGUACCCCUCGCACCCGUCGUUGGCGGAGCUGCGCCGCGCUGCGGGGUGUGACAGCGGCGCCACCGUCCCCUGGUCGACGCUGACGCGCCACUUGUCGUACCUGAGUGUGCGACUUCACGGGGUGCUGUCCGCGCCACACGGCUGCUUUGGUGCCUACGUGCUUCCGCUACGCCUUCAGGCGUCGGUGGUGCCGCUUCUCUACGCCUGGGCGACGCACUGGCCCCUCAUCGAGGCGGAUAUUGAGUGCUGGCGAGCGGUCGUGCGCUGCUUUUACGCUGCGUGCCGACCACCGAGCCCUGAUAAGGCGUCCUCCGACGCGAAUGUGGAGGCAGCUCUCAGAUCAACCUUCACGCUGCCGUGGCAGCCGCUGGCGGCACUCUGCCUGAGCGCUCGAGACAAGCGGAACGCUGAGUUGCCCUCGUGGCGCUCCACACUCACCGCCAUCGUCACCUCGCUGCCGUCGCUGUGCCGUCGCGCGUCGCCUCACUUUAGCGCUGCCGCCGUGGACGGCCUCUGGGGCCUCGUAGCCGGCCAACUCGCGCCGACGGAGGACGGCGUUGCUGCGCUGUCCCUGUUUGUACGACUCGUGCCGUACCGUCACCUCUGCCAGCCGAAAACAGAUGUGGUCGUAACGCAUGGCGCUAUCGAGAACGAGGCCAUUACCUCGACAGGGGAGAACAACCGCGGGUCUCACAGACAGCAGGAGAGUGAGCUCGCAUCCACCACGGCGGCAGCCGCGCCGCCGCAGCUGACGGCACGGGCAAAGCAGAUCCUGCGCUUCCUGCUGGUGGAGACGGCCACGUGGCAACCGCCAGGUCGUCCCUCGCCUGCGGUGGCGCCGAGCGGUGCCAAAGGGAGGAAGUCGAAAGCGUCGGCGCGGGGCUUUUACCUCACAUGGGAGAAGGCCGUCAUGACCUUCGCCGGGUCGCUUGCACGCGCGCAUCCCGGAGUGGCUGGCAUGGACGCAUUUGCGGAGCCUCUCUUCACCGCGUGGCUGCAGGCGCUACAGCUGCCGGCAGGGAGCGGCGCCGGACUUCCAGGCGCUUCCGCGACAUCGGCGGCCGCCGUGUCGCAUCUCAUGCGUAAGGGAGGUCAUGAGGCCAACUCGCCAACAGGCUUGAACACUGCACGUGGCGGCCCGGAGGCGAGCUCGCGCGCAAUCAGCUGGACAGCGGCACCGUACGUGCGCCUGCUGAACGGCUUCCCGGACACCGGCGACUCACCGCUCUGGCGCCAUUUGGAGCGGUGGCUCCACGCCACUAGUGUGCUGGUGCGUCCUGGCAUGCCGUGCACGAAAGGCAGUGCAGCCGAUCGCGUGUGCGACUGCUACAGCUCACUGGCGCGCGAGGCAGUUCGUCGCUGCGCUCCCAAUGAGAAGAGGGCAGCACCCAAGCGCCAGGCGUCACGCGGCGCGGCAGUCGUAGAGGGGCCUGACACGCAAGCCAGCGCACCGCCCGACGAUGCUGCUGCUGAAUCGACCGCGGCGCAGGCAGCGCGCCGCUGGGGUCCCGCCACGGCGGAGCGGUUUGUCUCUCUGCUUCUUCCGCAUGCUGUGGCGGCGUUUCAGGCACGGGCGCGGCAGGCGCAGCCGCUGUUGUGGGCGCUGCUGCGGCUGUCGCCUGCCACGGUGCUGCCAGACUUUCUGAAUUGUGUGCGGACGGGCCUACGCAGCCCCACGGAGGUGGCGGCGCAGCGUGCUGUCUCGACACGGCUUCUCACUGGCGCCGUGCCCACCAUCCUGGUAGAUGCAGAGGCCGCGUCGCUGCUGCCCUCCAACACGAGCAGCGCUACUCUGCUUGCCUUCCUGCGGGAGACGCUGCCGUCGAUGCUCACGUUCGUGAAUCCGAGCGACGUGGUGAGUGCGCUGCCUGUCCUCUCGCUCGUGGCGGUCGCGACGAGCUAUGCCGGAGCGGAGGAGGUGUUCGGCACCGUCGACGAGGUGGACGCCUUUGCGAAGGCCUACGUGGCGCGUGUGCUUCCGCUCUUUGCUGCCAACGCCGACGUGAAGGACGGCCACUUUCCAAACGCCGAGGUGAUGGUUCGCGCAUUUCUGCGGACUCUGCCGUCGACGGCUCUCUCGAUGGUGACGCGCGAGGUGUUGCGAGAGGCGCAAAGCCGUGAUCACGGUGCUCGCAUGGCCGGGCUGGUGCGCAUGGUUGCUGCCUGCGCGCCGGCUGAGGCAUGGGCCUGGGCACAGAAGCACUGGCUCCGAGUCCUGCUUGACACGUCUGCGCGAGACGCCGAGGUGGAGUGGGCGGCACCGCUGCUAGCGGCCUGCGUCGCCGACCUGGGCGACCGCUCGCUCGCACGCGCGCACGCCACAUCGAUCUGGCGCGGCGUGCAACUGCAGCUUCGCAUUCUGACCAGUAAGAAGCGCCGCACCGCUGGCGCCCAAGUCAUGGAGGCGCUCAUGGCAUCGCUGAUGCGGCCGCGGGAACGUUCCGAGACCCAUCUUCGCAUCUCAAGCGGCGAGCAGCUUCGACUGCAGCAGCUGCAGGCGACGGCGACGGCCCCGGGCUCUACUCGUGUACCGGGUUCUGCUGCUGAACUGCCGUUGCCAAGGAUCGGCACGGCAACUGAGGCGCGGGUGUACGUAGAGUGGCCGGGCGCAGAGGAUGUGCAGGUGGCGGUGGAUCUCUUCAACGCGUCCCUCCAAGACUGCGUGCACGUGAUUGAGGAGGUGAGCGGUGGCGCCGUCCUCAAUACCGCCGCAGCAGGGGCGACAGUGGCGGUUUCAAGCGAUGGUGAGAUUUCGCUUCACGCGCAGUUCUUCGCGGGCGCCUCCACCGCCACCGCAGCACCAAGCAGCGGCGCUGAUGCUGUCUUGUGCGAGAGUGCCGCGGCUGUGACGCGGCACAGCGUUCUGGAAGGGACGCUGCACUGGAUGCAGCGACUCCUCUGCGCAUGCGAGUGGGUGUUUAUCGAGCCGACGCCGACCGCGACGGCAGCGGACCCGCAGCAGACGCGCGGCGUGCCGUGGUGGGACGUGGAUCCACACGUGCCGUGGCGCCCCACCGGCGCCCCGCUGCUCCCAGCGUCGUGCAGGCCCGCGUACACGCGGGCGGAGGUUUUUGAAGUGCUUCGCAGGUGCGUGUGCCUCCCCAUGCUGCGCCAGCACGUCGUCGUUCCCUUGCGUCAGUGCGGCGUGGAGUUGAAGGAGUGGUUUGGCGCGCCUUCCGGCGAGGAGGUGCCCACGUCGGCUGACGACAGCCAAGCUGCCGUGGUGGAGCUGCUGCGACUGCUCCAGUGGCUGUCGUCUUCCAUUGUGCGGCUGCCUCAGCAGCGGUGGCGACCGGCCGCGUCGCUCUCGCACUACCUGCGCCGCAUCAUAGGGAGGCAGUGCCCAUGGGUGCGUCGACGUCUACCGCUGGGGUGCUGGGUCGACCGCUCGCUGCAGCUGCAGGUGGAGGCGGUGGCGCACGGGCAUCUACCAGUGACGCAGAAGACGUUCUCGGACGUUGUGUCCGUUGUGCAGAGCCUGUGUCUGUCGCCGCGGCGGCCCGUCUGGGGUGGUGCGAUGCGGCUGCUCGUGCACGUGCGCCUCUUCGGUGCCCUCGACAGCGCCUCGCUUGCGAUGUUCGAGGGCCGGGUGCGCGCCGUGGCGGCCGACAUCGUCUGCCAGUGGCGCGCAGGGGUGGCGUCUGCAGCGUCGGACACCGCCGUGACGAAGGCGGCACUGCGUCCACAGGAGCAGCGGCGGCGGCUGCCUGCGACCACCACGGCGGCGGUCGAAAGCCCCGGUGACGGCAACGGCAGAGCUGGCCAGCCACUUGCCCGCAGCACUCCGGCGGUCAUCGGAGUCGCACCUUCCGCGACGCUUCGGCUGCACACGCUGCAGGGUGCAAUGGAAGGGGUGCAGACGCUCCUGAUGUCACUGGCACUCAACCGCGAGUUCUUCGAGGCGCCGACCACGUGCAUGGAAUCGCUGCGCUUCCUGGUUCGCUUCCCGGAAGAGCUGCGCUCCGUCACCGCCGGGCUGCUGCUGCCUCAGUUCACGGAACGCGUGCGCUCGGCCAAAGUGCUUCUCAUCACCGGCGCUGCCCGCUCUCCCGCCUUCACGGAGGAGCUGGUGCAGGUUGCCUACGAGCUUGCUGCCACGUACCCCGCGCGCGCCGUGCUACUUCUGGCGUACGCCCAUCUUGUCUACUGGCCGUCUCCGUGUCGCUGGGUCUCUCUGCGCGCCGUACGCUACCUAGCGCGCCUGUCCCUCUCUUCCCACGUCGUUUUGCGCUGCGUGGCAGCUGACCUCUUACAGGCUGUGUCGCUGCCGGUCACCGUGCGUGAACCAACGUGGACGGUGUGCGCGGUUCCCGGUGCCCUUGCGGUGCCCGUAUCCUUCUUGCUUCCACCAGACGCAGCGAAGGAGCUGCUGAGUGAGACGGAGCAGCGGGCGCACGAGGCUGCCGUGACAGCGGCGCAGGACUGCGUGCAACGACUGACGGAGGCAUGCCCGUUGAUGCCCUACUACGUCGGCACGAAGGGCCUCGUGCUUCCGCUGAGUUACCUCACGGUGCCCAGGUGCGCAGCGUCCGCGCUGGGCCUGCAUCCGGUGCAGCCAGGCUCUGAAGCGACGUCUAUUCACUGCAGUGCGAUCACCGGCGCCGCCUUUGUGGACGCCAUCACGUACACGCAGCCGCCUGACGCUGCCGCUUACCGUCUUCAGUGGCUGGCGACGCUGCUGGGCGGCAUGAAUGGCGGUGGUGGCGGCGUCACGGUCGUGGAUGCGGAGGAGGAGAGCUGCCAAGCAGCAGACGCAACCGCGCGACAGCUGAGUCCGCAUUCGUGGGUGCUGCGGCUGCUAGCACUGCCGGUCGAGUGCUCCCAAGUGCAUUAUGACCGCCAGGUUGCGUCUCCAACCACGGUCGUAAAGCUGCUCGCCUCGCUGCCGCAGGAGCCGGCGGCGAAUGAUGCAUCGUCGCCGUUCUCUUCUGCUGCCUCGCUGCUGCUCGAGUGGGCCGAUAAUGCACUGCGGACGUGGCGACGCCGUCGUGGUAAAACCCACCAGCCCCGCGGCGGGGACGAGCAGCGCACAUGCGCUGCGGACACAGACGAUUGUGACGGCCCUUCCGUGUCGUCCUCCGAGCGUGGCGUGGCAGACACGCCGCCCACUCACCUCACCAGUGGCGAGGGAGAUGCACAAGGGCACGCCGGCAAGCAUGACGCUAAGGAGGGCGCCAGCGAAGUGGAGGAGGAUGAGAUGUAUCGCCUCUUUCGCUCUCUCGCGAUUGUGUCCUCGGCCGUGCUGCGACUGACUGCCCCACUGCGGCCGACUGCAGCGCCGAGCUCGGCUCACAAGGGCCCCACAGAUGCAGAGCUUCGAACGCGGGCAGUGCACUUCUUCUCUGACGUUGUCGCGUGCGUCUGCAGCCAUGCGGCCGUGCCGCACAGCGUCGCGCAGCGGGUCAUGGCUGUGGCUUUCACGACGCUGGGAGAAUCGCUGACGUCCGAGGAAGUGUGGAUGGUAGUCUAUGCCUUGGUAGGUCAACUGGGAAGUACGACCCACGCGGAGACCGCGACCGCCGCCGCUGAUGACGCCCGCAGCAGCGGCGCUGAUACGUGGUCACAGCGACGGCAGCGCCUCUUGUCCUUCAUCGGCGCCCUCUUCUGCGGUGUGCCUCCAGCGGUCAUCGGGGCCAACCUUCCCCGGCUGGUCGCCCUCAUCGAAGCGCACGCGCAGGUAUUCAGCUUCUCUUCGGCGGACCAGGUGCGGCAGAUGGCGGCAAUGGCUGUAGCGCAGCUGAUCGGUUUCACGGCUCUGCAGAGCAACCUUCGAGUUGAGUUCAACGGCUGUCGCACGGCCGCUGAUGCGCUGAUGGUCUCGCUCAUGCAGCGUGCCAACACCACCGUGUUCCAUGGACGGCUUCCGCUUGUGUGUCUCGGGUCCGAAAGCGGGGACAGCCUGUCGAAGGCCUCGUCAGCGACUCGCGCUGCCGCCGCCAUCAGCAGCGGUGAGGCACCUGAGUCUGCCGGUGUUGGAUCGCCGACCUCCCAAGACGCUGCGCUGCUCACCUUCACCGCCCUGUGCCUCCAACAAUCCCCGGCGGACAUGCUGGAGGCACACGCACGCGACAUGGUGCUGCUGCUCUGCUGCUGUCUUGACCUGUCCUUCACGGAGGUGCAGCAUCUUCACGAGGCGGUGGAGGCGGCUCUCGCCUCUCUGGUGGCUCUUCGGAUGUCCAAGGCUCGUGUCCAUGAGUUGAUCGAGCAGCUCUGCAGUGUCUGUACCGGCUCAGUCGCGUAUGGCACAUCACGACGGGCGAAGGUGGCGUGCACGCGUGCACUGCGUCGGCUCAUCUUUCCGAACCUGCACCGCAUCGGCAGGUUUGCCGUCAUGGAGCAGGUCGCUGCCGCGAGCCUUGCUGCAUUGGCACAUCGUGACGCUGGCAUCCGUGCCGAGGGUAGCCACCUGUUGGCCGUGCUUACCAAGGUUGCGGCCGAGGCGCAGACACGCGUGCUAGUGCAGCGGCUGGUUCAGGAGCUGCGUCAGCUGCCUCGUGAAACCGCCGCGGCCGCAUCUGCGGCGUCAGAGCACCAGCGGGAGGAUGCGCCCUCCAGCAGUGGUGUAGGCGCAGUAUCAGUGGGUCGUCGCGUGGCCCUUGUGCAAGCGCUCGGCGCGGUGGUGCUGGCUGACCCCGGUGAACCGUCCUCUUACGUACCAAAGGUGAUGGUGCAGCUCGCGGGCUGCGCGCGGGAGGGCAACACCGAGUGCGGCCGUGUGGCGAAGCGCGUCUUCGAGGAAUGGUGGCAUGCGCACCGCGAGGGGUGGGAGCACGUGUACAAGUCGCGCUUUACUCCUGCGGAGGUGGAUGCGAUGUCCGACCUUCUUCUCGCACCACGGUACUACGCAUAGGUGAAGUGUGUAGAGGUGUGCGUGUGUGUGAGUGUGAGGAAGGGGAGGAGGAGAUGGGCGGAUGAGGAGCGGUGCGGCGGCCUUAGCUGCAGCAACCACGAAGAAAGUUUUGCAUACCACCAUCCCUCUCUCGUUAAUGCCGGCCUUCCGCUCCAUCUCUCGCUGACAGGCUUGCCUCUGCUCUCUCUCUCUUGACCUGUAGCACGAUGGCUUUAUAUAUAUGUGCGUGUCUGUGUGGCCUGACUGUCGGGGACAUGUUUGGCACUCAUGCCUUCUCUUUAAGGGCCCCGUCGCCAUACGACAUACCCUUCUUCCUCCUUCCCCCAUUUCUCUGGUAGAGUUUGCGUGCUUCUAUUUC